GGCUUCGUAGCUCAGUUAUUAGAACGCUUGCCGCGUUGAGGCAUGGUGUUUCUGUAGCUGGUUCGAAUCCAGCUGAAGCCC
rnacentral:tRNA from 1 species